UACGGAAGGCAGCAGUGGGGAAUCUUGCGCAAUGGGCGAAAGCCUGACGCAGCCAUGCCGCGUGAAUGAUGAAGGUCUUAGGAUUGUAAAAUUCUUUCACCGGGGACGAUAAUGACGGUACCCGGAGAAGAAGCCCCGGCUAACUUCGUGCCAGCAGCCGCGGUAAUACGAAGGGGCUAGCGUUGCUCGGAAUUACUGGGCGUAAAGGGAGCGUAGGCGGACAUUUAAGUCAGGGGUGAAAUCCCGGGGCUCAACCUCGGAAUUGCCUUUUGAUACUGGGUGUCUUGAGUAUGAGAGGGGUGUGUGGAACUCCGAGUGUAGAGGUGAAAUUCGUAGAUAUUCGGAAGAACACCAGUGGCGAAAGGCGACACACUGGCUCAUUACUGACGCUGAGGCUCGAAAGCGUGGGGAGCAAACAGGGAUUUAGAUACC
rnacentral:rRNA from 1 species